ensembl:snRNA U1 U1 spliceosomal RNA
AUACUUACCUGGCAAGGGAGACACCGUGAUCAAGAAGGUGGUUCACCCAGGGCGAGGCUCAGCCAUUGCACUCCGGCUGUGCUGACCCCUGCGAAUUUCCCAAAUGUGGAAAUCUCGAUUGCAUAAUUUCUGGUAGUGGGGGACUGCGUUCGCGCUCUCCCCUG